rnacentral:rRNA from 1 species
AUUGAACGCUGGCGGCAGGCUUAACACAUGCAAGUCGAGCGGGGGAAGGUAGCUUGCUACUGGACCUAGCGGCGGACGGGUGAGUAAUGCUUAGGAAUCUGCCUAUUAGUGGGGGACAACAUCUCGAAAGGGAUGCUAAUACCGCAUACGUCCUACGGGAGAAAGCAGGGGAUCUUCGGACCUUGCGCUAAUAGAUGAGCCUAAGUCGGAUUAGCUAGUUGGUGGGGUAAAGGCCUACCAAGGCGACGAUCUGUAGCGGGUCUGAGAGGAUGAUCCGACACACUGGGGCUGGUACACGGCCCAGACUCCUACGGGAGGCAGCAGUGGGGAAGAUUGGACAAUGGGGGGGAACCCUGAUCCAGCCAUGCCGCGUGUGUGAAGAAGGCCUUAUGGUUGUAAAGCACUUUAAGCGAGGAGGAGGCUACUCUAGUUAAUACCUAGGGAUAGUGGACGUUACUCGCAGAAUAAGCACCGGCUAACUCUGUGCCAGCCGCCGCCGUAA